rnacentral:rRNA from 1 species
UACGUAGGGUGCGAGCGUUAAUCGGAAUUACUGGGCGUAAAGCGUGCGCAGGCGGUUUUGUAAGCCAGAUGUGAAAGCCCCGGGCUUAACCUGGGAAUGGCGAUGGAAACUGGCGAGCUUGAGUGUGGCAGAGGGGGGUGGAAUUCCGCGUGUAGCAGUGAAAUGCGUAGAGAUGCGGAGGAACACCGAUGGCGAAGGCAGCCCCCUGGGUCAACACUGACGCUCAGGCACGAAAGCGUGGGGAGCAAACAGG